GGAUGGGAUGAUGAUUAUUUUUUCCCUAUUGGUUUGAUUGCCGCCAUGAUGGCAUUUUGUAUUAGCUCUAUCUGACCAUUC
rfam:Cajanus cajan chromosome 2, whole genome shotgun sequence.